CGGGAAAAAGAAGGCUUAGCUCCAGGAUACCUGGUAGACCAAAUAGGGGUGGAGAAGGAAAGAGGAAGUAUCUAAGAAAUUAGAAGCUUGGCAUGGUGUUUAGCAGAGGAAGCUUGUCCUUUUGUUUUAGCAAGUGAAGAAAAUGGGAAGCGAGGCAAAAAAAAAAAAAAAGCCAACAGCGAAGGAUUCAAGUCAAGAGUAAAUCGCACUUGCAUAGUGGGGACACAAAGCAUGUCAUAGCUGGCAUGGCCAUCAUCACUCGUCUUUGGUGUCCCUUGGUUCCUCAUGAACAGAGGUUGGUUUUCUUUUCUUUUGACUCUCUACCAUAUAUCUAUGUCUUUAAAUCGAUUGGGUUGCUUUAAUAUCAGUUUUGGAUUGGUGGGUCAAUGAUGAAAAGGAAAGGAGAAGUGAGAGGAAAUGGAAGUUAGAAUCUUUUUGCAGUUUUCUUUACUGGGUCCUUCGCAUGGCGAAGCUGCUUUGUGUUAAUUUUUGUUUGCUAAAUGGAAAGUAUAUUUUCAAAAUUUUAGAUUUCUUUUUCUUGCACUGAUUGGGAAGAUGAUCUACGGUUGAGUUGCAAGUAUUGCUUUGUGUUAAGAAGUUAAUUGCUCAAAGUGCUGCUGCUGUUGGUUUAGAUUUGUUUGGUUCUAAAAGAAUGCUGCCGACCAGGGAAGUCUUUCGACUUUCCUGCUUCUUUCUCUUUGUUUUCCUUGCUUGUUGACGAUAUUUUAUCAGGGUUGAUUUUUUAAGCUGCUGAGGCAGCGAGCAGCCAUGUAGUAGAAGCUUGGCAAGGUCUCUAAAUGUUACGAUAGCUAGAACUGAUGAUUUAAUGAUUUGUUUGUGUUUACUGGGCAAGUGAUCUAACACUUCGCAAUCAAAAUCUUGUCUGUUUCUUUA